CUGCAGCUCAAGUGGUGACCGCUAUUAUUGGGCCUAAAACGUUCGUAGCCGGCUGAGUAAAUGCUUGGGUAAAUCGUGCCGCUUAACGGUACGAAUUCCGGGUAGACUGCUCAGCUUGAGACCGGGAGAAGCUAGAGGUACUCCCGGGGUAGGGGUGAAAUCCUGUAAUCCUGGGGGGACCACCAGUGGCGAAGGCGUCUAGCUAGAACGGGUCUGACGGUGAGGGACGAAACCCUGGGGCGCAAACCGGAUUAGAUACCCGAGUAGUCC
rnacentral:rRNA from 1 species